rnacentral:rRNA from 1 species
AGAGUUUGAUCAUGGCUCAGAUUGAACGCUGGCGGCAGGCCUAACACAUGCAAGUCGAACGGUAACAGGAAACAGCUUGCUGUUUCGCUGACGAGUGGCGGACGGGUGAGUAAUGUCUGGGAAACUGCCUGAUGGAGGGGGAUAACUACUGGAAACGGUAGCUAAUACCGCAUAACGUCGCAAGACCAAAGAGGGGGACCUUCGGGCCUCUUGCCAUCAGAUGUGCCCAGAUGGGAUUAGCUAGUAGGUGGGGUAACGGCUCACCUAGGCGACGAUCCCUAGCUGGUCUGAGAGGAUGACCAGCCACACUGGAACUGAGACACGGUCCAGACUCCUACGGGAGGCAGCAGUGGGGAAUAUUGCACAAUGGGCGCAAGCCUGAUGCAGCCAUGCCGCGUGUAUGAAGAAGGCCUUCGGGUUGUAAAGUACUUUCAGCGGGGAGGAAGGGAGUAAAGUUAAUACCUUUGCUCAUUGACGUUACCCGCAGAAGAAGCACCGGCUAACUCCGUGCCAGCAGCCGCGGUAAUACGGAGGGUGCAAGCGUUAAUCGGAAUUACUGGGCGUAAAGCGCACGCAGGCGGUUUGUUAAGUCAGAUGUGAAAUCCCCGGGCUCAACCUGGGAACUGCAUCUGAUACUGGCAAGCUUGAGUCUCGUAGAGGGGGGUAGAAUUCCAGGUGUAGCGGUGAAAUGCGUAGAGAUCUGGAGGAAUACCGGUGGCGAAGGCGGCCCCCUGGACGAAGACUGACGCUCAGGUGCGAAAGCGUGGGGAGCAAACAGGAUUAGAUACCCUGGUAGUCCACGCCGUAAACGAUGUCGACUUGGAGGUUGUGCCCUUGAGGCGUGGCUUCCGGAGCUAACGCGUUAAGUCGACCGCCUGGGGAGUACGGCCGCAAGGUUAAAACUCAAAUGAAUUGACGGGGGCCCGCACAAGCGGUGGAGCAUGUGGUUUAAUUCGAUGCAACGCGAAGAACCUUACCUGGUCUUGACAUACACGGAAGUUUUCAGAGAUGAGAAUGUGCCUUCGGGAACCGUGAGACAGGUGCUGCAUGGCUGUCGUCAGCUCGUGUUGUGAAAUGUUGGGUUAAGUCCCGCAACGAGCGCAACCCUUAUCCUUUGUUGCCAGCGGUCCGGCCGGGAACUCAAAGGAGACUGCCAGUGAUAAACUGGAGGAAGGUGGGGAUGACGUCAAGUCAUCAUGGCCCUUACGACCAGGGCUACACACAUGCUACAAUGGCGCAUACAAAGAGAAGCGACCUCGCGAGAGCAAGCGGACCUCAUAAAGUGCGUCGUAGUCCGGAUUGGAGUCUGCAACUCGACUCCAUGAAGUCGGAAUCGCUAGUAAUCGUGGAUCAGAAUGCCACGGUGAAUACGUUCCCGGGCCUUGUACACACCGCCCGUCACACCAUGGGAGUGGGUUGCAAAAGAAGUAGGUAGCUUAACCUUCGGGAGGGCGCUUACCACUUUGUGAUUCAUGACUGGGGUGAAGUCGAAACAAGGUAACCGUAGGGGAACCUGCGGUUG